GCUUACGGCCACACCGCCCUGAGCACGCCCCAUCUCGUCUGAUCUCGGAAGCUAAGCAGGGUUGGGGCUGGUUAGUACUUGGAUGGGAGACCGCCUGGGAAUACCAAAUGCUGUAAGUU
rnacentral:rRNA from 1 species